rnacentral:rRNA from 1 species
UACGGAGGGGGCUAGCGUUGUUCGGAAUUACUGGGCGUAAAGCGCACGUAGGCGGCUUUGUAAGUUAGAGGUGAAAGCCCGGGGCUCAACCCCGGAACUGCCUUUAAGACUGCAUCGCUUGAAUCCAGGAGAGGUGAGUGGAAUUCCGAGUGUAGAGGUGAAAUUCGUAGAUAUUCGGAGGAACACCAGUGGCGAAGGCGGCUCACUGGUCCAUUACUGACGCUGAGGUGCGAAAGCAUGGGGAGCGAACAGG